rnacentral:lncRNA from 1 species
UUUACUUAACGUGAUUGUGACUAGCAACCUUCACUACUUGUGAAUAUAAGUUCAUAACGAUUAGGUGAAAUUCCCUUAUAUUCUAGCGUUAAAUUCAUGCAUGAAAAUUAAGCGUGCACUCUCAACCAACAUACACAAAUCAUUUUUUAUAUGAUCGGAUAAGUAAAUUGAAUUCACAACUUAUGAAUCACAACUGGAUGUAAUCAAAUCAUAUUGCAAGUAUGAACAUGGUUUCGAAUCACCCCCUAACUAAGAGGGGUUUAGUUCCUCAUACUCACAAAGCAAAGAUACAUAAAAUUAGACAUUAAAAUCAAAGGAAAGAAAACACCUAAAAUGCUCCAACUUGGGUAGCAAGUGCAUCCAAGAAUUCUCCUUUGCUUGCUUGCGGCAGAUUGCUUUGUGGACAGAUUUUUUGGUAGUUUUAUGAUGUAGAAUGGAUGGGGAAUGGUAUGAAAAGGUUUAUGGUGAGUGUAGAGGAGUGUUUGAUGGUGGAAGGGUGGUGGAGAACUAGGCAAAGAGGGUGGAAGAAGGUGGAGUGGCUGUUAUGUUUUCUA